rnacentral:rRNA from 1 species
AAGCCUGAUGCAGCGACGCCGCGUGAGGGAUGACGGCCUUCGGGUUGUAAACCUCUUUCAGCAGGGACGAAGCGCAAGUGACGGUACCUGCAGAAGAAGCACCGGCUAACUACGUGCCAGCAGCCGCGGUAAUACGUAGGGUGCAAGCGUUGUCCUGAAUUACUGGGCGUAAAGAGUUCGUAGGCGGUUUGUCGCGUCGUUUGUGAAAACCAGCAGCUCAACUGCUGGCUUGCAGGCGAUACGGGCAGACUUGAGUACUGCAGGGGAGACUGGAAUUCCUGGUGUAGCGGUGAAAUGCGCAGAUAUCAGGAGGAACACCGGUGGCGAAGGCGGGUCUCUGGGCAGUAACUGACGCUGAGGAACGAAAGCGUGGGUAGCAACAGGAUUAGAUACCCUGGUAGUC